rnacentral:rRNA from 1 species
CCUACGGGAGGCAGCAGUGAGGAAUAUUGGUCAAUGGGCGAGAGCCUGAACCAGCCAAGUCGCGUGAGGGAGUACUGCCCUAUGGGUUGUAAACCUCUUUUGUCGGGGAGCAAAAGCCGGACGUGUCCGGCUGUGAGAGUACCCGAAGAAAAAGCAUCGGCUAACUCCGUGCCAGCAGCCGCGGUAAUACGGAGGAUGCGAGCGUUAUCCGGAUUUAUUGGGUUUAAGGGGUGCGCAGGCGGGUUUUUAAGUCAGCGGUAAAAUCGUGGGGCUCAACCCCAUCCAGCCGUUGAAACUGGGGAUCUAGAGUGUGCGAGAGGUAUGCGGAAUGCGUGGUGUAGCGGUGAAAUGCAUAGAUAUCACGCAGAACCCCGAUUGCGAAGGCAGCAUACCGGUGCACAACUGACGCUCAGGCACGAAAGCGUGGGUAUCGAACAGGAUUAGAUACCCUUGUAGUC